AUGGGUAUAAAGCUAUAGUAUCAUACCUUUUUGAGGUCACAAGUCUUCAUGUGCUACAGACCUACCUUCUUCACACCAUUAUACAGAAUGAGAUGUAUGAGAUGGCAUAACAUUUAUUCAACAAAGACAGAAAAUUAGCCAGUAAAAUGUUACAAGGAAAUAUUCAUGUCUUACACAUGUUAUCACAAAAGUUGAGGAAAAAUUGAAGAGAUUCAUUGAAGGAGCUUAUUCUCCAACGUGGAGAAAGUUAUUUUGCCUGGCCAGGAGGGGUACUCCCAGCAAAAUAUGUACUGGAGAAACACGUAAGUCUAUUACUUGAGGAGCUUUGGGCGGAAUAUCAAAGAAGUGCAGAGGAUAAGCUAUUGGAACUAUUGGAAAAGGAAAGCUUGCUCUAUUCUGCUGCAAAAGCAGGAAAUAUAGAGCUUUUAGUUAUGGUUAUUCACAGUCAUCCUGAACUCAUAUGGCAACCUGACUAUCAAAACUGGACCAUUUCCAUGUUGCGGUUUUAUAUCGAGAGGAAAAAGUCUUCAGUCUUAUACACCAAAUAGGAGGAAUGUAAAACUUUCUUCAAAUAUAUGAUAAUGAUGGCAAUACCAUUCUACAUUUAGCUGGGAGGUAGGGCAGGGCAGCCACUCCGUCAGCAGAAAACUGGACAGAUGCUGAUAUUAAUGAUGUAUUCGUAGAAUCACAACAACAGUUAUUUCAAGAGAUUAGACAGUCUGUUAAGGUAUUUCCUCUCUUUUUAAACUAUACAUGUUGCUUCAUUCCAAUUUAACACAGAUACAAGAAAUAUUGUAUAAUCAAAAAGUCCCGUUGUUUGGAUUAAUCACCAUUGUUUAAAUAAUGAGCUGACCAACAGGAGGAAGAGAAGAUUAUGCCGCCAUCAUUUCUCAGGGUUUCUGGAGCAGCACUUCAAAUGCAAAGAGAGCUAUUGUGGUUCACGGUGAAAAAUUACCUAAAAGUAAAUUUUCCAAUCGGAAACACAUCUUGUUGCAUUUAUAUAUUUUAAGAGUGAAUUAAAGACGUACAUUUUUAGCGUUUUCUAUAAUGGGCAGCGUUACGGCUUUUAAAAUUUUUGCAUUGCUGCGGAAUGAUUAGUUACUAAUUUUCUAGCGAGAAACUUGCAUCUUCACUCCACAAGGUGAGAAACAACGAUGGGAGAACCCCUAGGGAAUUAUUCAUAGAAGAUCACAAGCUAUUACUAAAAGAAGGGAAAAGGUGGAUGAAAGAUACUGUGAAUUCUUGUAUGAUUGUUGCAACUUUGAUUACCAUGAUGUUGUUUGUUGCUACUGUCUAUUCUGUCAUCUCUCUAUGCUGAACACAAUUUUCUUGUGUCAUUGUCAUAUAGGGAUGUCAGAAUGGACAAGAACAUAAUGAUGGAAACGAUUGAGCUAAAUAAUGCCACUGCAUCUGAUAUGACAAAGACCGUAAAUCCAUUCAGUUUUAGCAAUAUUGGAAUACCAUUAUCUGGCACAGGAAGCCAGCAACAAACACCAUCGUGGCAGUCAAAGUUGCAACAAUCAUACAAGAAUUUGCAGCGUCUUUCAUCCACCUUUCCCCUUCUUUUAGUAAUAGCUUGUGCUCUUCUGUGAAUAAUUCCUUAGGGGUUUUCCCAUCGUUGUUUCUCAGCUUGUGGUAUAUAGGUGGUACAAUUUUCUCCACUUCCUAGACAGUUAGUAAUUAUCAUUCUGCAGCAACAACAUUUUUAAAAGACAACCCUUCCCUUUAAAGAAAACGCUGAAAAUUGUAUCUCUUUAAUUCAUACUUAAAAAGCUAACUGACAGAUAUUUAAAUGCAACAAGAUGUGUUUCCAACUGCGAAAUUUACUUUUAGGUAAUCUUCUCACCGUGAACCACAAUAUCUCUCUUUGCAUUUGAAGUGCUGCUCUAGAAACCCUGAGAAAUGAUGGCGGCAUAAUCUUCUCUUCCUUUUGUUGGUCAGCUCAUUAUUUAAACAUUGAUGAUUAAUCCAAACAACGGAACUUUUUGAUUAUACAAUAUUUCUUGUACCUGUGUUAAAUUGGAACGAAGCAACAUGUAUAGUUUAUAAAGAGAGAGGAAAUACCUUAACAGACUGUCUAAUAUCUUGAAACAGCUGUUGUAGUACAACAUUAUUAUCAGCAUCAGGUGGCACAUACUGGAAAAGUUUGUUUUUCUGUUUAAGGAUUGGCUGCCCUAACUUCCCAGCCAAAUGUAGAAUGUUGUUGCCAUCAGUACCAAUUAUUUGAAUAAAUAAGUUUUAAAUUGCUCAUAUAUGGUGUAUAAUCUUACCAUACAUCUCAUUCUUG